rnacentral:rRNA from 1 species
UUUGAUCCUGGCUCAGGACGAACGCUGGCGGCGUGCUUAACACAUGCAAGUCGAACGAUGAAGCCUUCGGGUGGAUUAGUGGCGAACGGGUGAGUAACACGUGGGCAAUCUGCCCUGCACUCUGGGACAAGCCCUGGAAACGGGGUCUAAUACCGGAUAAUACUGUGCCCCUCAUGGGGGACGGUUGAAAGCUCCGGCGGUGCAGGAUGAGCCCGCGGCCUAUCAGCUUGUUGGUGGGGUAAUGGCCUACCAAGGCGACGACGGGUAGCCGGCCUGAGAGGGCGACCGGCCACACUGGGACUGAGACACGGCCCAGACUCCUACGGGAGGCAGCAGUGGGGAAUAUUGCACAAUGGGCGAAAGCCUGAUGCAGCGACGCCGCGUGAGGGAUGACGGCCUUCGGGUUGUAAACCUCUUUCAGCAGGGAAGAAGCGAAAGUGACGGUACCUGCAGAAGAAGCGCCGGCUAACUACGUGCCAGCAGCCGCGGUAAUACGUAGGGCGCAAGCGUUGUCCGGAAUUAUUGGGCGUAAAGAGCUCGUAGGCGGUCUGUCACGUCGGGUGUGAAAGCCCGGGGCUUAACCCCGGGUCUGCAUUCGAUACGGGCAGACUAGAGUGUGGUAGGGGAGAUCGGAAUUCCUGGUGUAGCGGUGAAAUGCGCAGAUAUCAGGAGGAACACCGGUGGCGAAGGCGGAUCUCUGGGCCAUUACUGACGCUGAGGAGCGAAAGCGUGGGGAGCGAACAGGAUUAGAUACCCUGGUAGUCCACGCCGUAAACGUUGGGAACUAGGUGUUGGCGACAUUCCACGUCGUCGGUGCCGCA